rfam:Macaca mulatta chromosome 2, whole genome shotgun sequence.
AUCACUUAGGAAUCUUGUUAAAAUUCAGAUUUGGAUUCAGUAGGUCUGAGAAUGUGUCUAAUAGUCUGCAUUUCUAACAAGUUUCUUAGUGAUGCCAA